UAUAUUUUAACUUUGGAACAAGAAUCUUCAAUUUAGUCAGAAUUUAGAAUUUUCUGUUCAUAGUUUUUGAAAAUUACAUAUAUAUUUUCUAACAAAAAUGAUUUGUUUGGCAUGUACAAACAGUUCAGCGAGUUAAGAGACAGCGGCUAUGCUGGCUAGGUCAAGUCGUUCGAAUGGACUCGAAAUGACUUCGAUGGAAAGACCAAGUGGAGAAGGACCUGGUGGCUACACUUGGAAUCUCCAAUUAGCGCCAAACAAGAAGAACUACUGGC